UAUGUAGGGCGCAAGCGUUAUCCGGAAUUAUUGGGCGUAAAGAGCUCGUAGGCGGUUUGUCGCGUCUGCCGUGAAAGUCCGGGGCUUAACCCCGGAUCUGCGGUGGGUACGGGCAGACUAGAGUGCAGUAGGGGAGACUGGAAUUCCUGGUGUAGCGGUGAAAUGCGCAGAUAUCAGGAGGAACACCGAUGGCGAAGGCAGGUCUCUGGGCUGUAACUGACGCUGAGGAGCGAAAGCGUGGGGAGCGAACAGG
rnacentral:rRNA from 1 species